rnacentral:lncRNA from 1 species
CCGGGCGGUGGAGCUCCUCGAGAGGCUCCAGCGCAGCGGGGAGCUGCCCCCGCAGAAGCUGCAGGCCCUCCAGCGAGUCUUGCAGAGCCGCUUCUGUUCUGCCAUCCGGGAGGUGAGAGCAGCGCGGCGCCGGGACACAGGCGGGGGGGCGCCCNCGCCCGUCCUGAUCGUCGCCCCGAGCUCAGGGACUACGCCUCCCAGCAGCGCCGGGGGGCGGCCCGCCUUGGGGUGCCAGCGCUUCAGCUCCGGGUUUCUUCGGGAGUUGUAGUUUCCUCGGGCUCCAGGUCGCGGGGGCGGGGCGGAUCCUUGGGUGGGAGGGUCUGCGGGCCUGGACUCCGGCGUUGAAGGGAGGAGGGGGCUGGUGGCUCGCUGAUGCUGCUGCGUCCUCACCAGGUGUAUGAGCAGCUCUAUGACACGCUGGACAUCACCGGCAGUGCUGAAAUCCGGGCCCACGCCACGGCCAAGGUUGGUGUCCCCCACCCCAUCACCCACGCUAUCCGCUGAACUGCAUGGUCUGGUUUAGUAUCUUCCUAAAGUCAACCGUGCCCGUUUCCUCCUUCGUGAUUUUUGCCGAAUCUAUGUACCAGCGUUAUUGUUAUUUACUGAUCUUUUCAAUAAUCUCACGUUUUACUUAAAUGUCAUAUAAAGGCAUCUGUAGCAACCGCCAGUGGAAGCUAGUACCGCAUACCUGACAAGAGGAUACCCUUUAACACCUAUACAACGAAAUAGCCUUAAACACUGAAAUCUUAGUGAACUAUAGUUGUAUGCUAUUUCUUGCCGCCCCCUGGAGGCUCUCAGUUCCUUCCAGGCCUUGUUUUUCUCUGUUAAAAAUCGAGAUUGGCAAGUGGUGAGUAUUUAAGAGGCACUCAUACCAAAAUGGAGACAUUCUCUUUGAUGUCUGAAGCAUUGAGAGGGAACUAAAAGGGACUCAUAACAGUGUGAGCUUGUGUUGAACGGCGGCAGGUGCCCCGUGAGUGGGGAAAGUGAUCUGGCCUAAAUUGCUCUCCCUGGCCCAGAUCCUCCCCCCUCGUCCGUACACCCACCAGGGAGGGGCCCUCACCUCCCCACACUUUUUCUCUCCUAGGCCACGGUGGCUGCCUUCACAGCCAGUGAGGGCCAUGCACAUCCCAGGGUAGUGGAGCUGCCCAAGACAGAUGAGGGCCUGGGCUUCAACAUCAUGGGGGGCAAGGAGCAGAACUCCCCCAUCUAUAUCUCCCGUGUCAUCCCUGGAGGCGUGGCUGACCGCCACGGAGGCCUCAAGCGCGGCGACCAGCUGCUGUCCGUGAAUGGCGUGGUGAGUGGGGACUGAGGCUGGGCUCCCGGUCUGUUCAAGGUUAGCACAGUCCCUGCUUUUGACAUUCAUUCAACAUGCACCGCUUGAGUACUGCCUCUUUGUCCAGCCCUGUGCUGGGCACCGCUAGAGACACUGAAAGAAGUUUGCCUCAGCUCCCAUAUUCAAGGACUCCUUUUUGGUGAGAGAGAUAGACUCUGACUGAAAUAAUCUUGAUCCAGGGAGAUAAUAAUGAGGAAGCACAAAGCAUUAUGAGAGCCCAAAUGGGACACCAGACCAGCGUAGGUGAGGGAAGUUUUUGCAGAGGAAGGAACAUUUGAGUUGGGUUUUGAAGGAUGCAGAGGAGUUCUCCAGGCAAAUAGGGUAGAGAAGAGUAUUACUAGCUGAGGAUGUUGUAGGUCGGGGCUGUGACUCUACACUCCUCUGAGCUGAACAGAAAGGGCUUGGGGCCAGCCAUGCAGGGCCCAAGUGUCAACCUGGGAAGCUGGGACUUCAUCUCAAGGGUUCUGGGGAGCCUUGGGAAGGCUGUGAACAGCGGAGGGAUAGGCUCAGCUUGGAGGGGUCGAAGGACCCCUUUGGAACUCUAUAGGGGAUGGACUGAAGGUAGAGACUGGAGGCCAGAAGUUCUAGGAGGAGGCUAGGUGAAAGUCCCUGGGGAGAAGAUGAGGCCUGAACUGGGGCCAGGGUGGCAGGGACAAAGUAGGGAGUCAGAGCAGGAGGGAUGGGGCCGGGGAACAGCAGGCUUUGGGGACGGAGGGGGUAAAGGUGGACUUGGAGGUCCGGCUUGGUGACUGAGGGCUUUGAGGGCUUGUCCCUGACAUGAGGAACUUGGCAGGUUUGGGGGGAGGAGGACGCUGAGCCAAGAGCGAAUGUGCCUCUCCCAGAAGGACACAAGGCCCUGGCAGCCCGGGCUGGUACCAGGCUCACCCACAGUAGGGUCGGGGCUGGGUGUGGGUGGGAGGCCCCAGGCCCAGGUGUCUGUACACCGCCCUGCAGAGUGUUGAGGGUGAGCAGCACGAGAAGGCAGUGGAGCUGCUGAAGGCAGCCCAGGGCUCGGUGAAGCUGGUGGUGCGUUACACGCCUCGCGUGCUGGAGGAGAUGGAGGCCCGCUUCGAGAAGAUGCGCUCUGCUCGCCGGCGCCAGCAGCACCAGAGCUACUCGUGAGCCCUUUGCCACCACACCCCUGUGGCCUCCACCGCCUCCUUUAUCCCCAGAGUCCCAGACCAGACCAGUGACUUCUGGGACGUUGAUGGCCACCACCCCCAGCCCCGGCUUCUCUCUCUGGGGUUCUGACCCUUGACCCCUGACCCAGGCUCUCACAAGCUAUUCUGGCUAAAUCCUUUGGGGGGUCUCCUGGGCUCACUUUCGUCCCAAGGUCUGCAGCCGACUCUCCAGAAUCCCUCAGUCCACUGCCCUGGGCCCAGGCCCGGCUCUCUCCCAUGCCUCCCCAGGUCCCCUUCCCUGAGCUUGACUCCCCUCUCUUCCCCCUCUUUGCAGGUCCUUGGAGUCUCGAGGCUGAAACCACAGAUCUGGACCCUCACCCUCACCCCCUCCCCUGUACAGUAUUUAUUGUCACCGGCUCCUUAUUUAAAGAUCUUUGACCCUCAUUGAGUGUCUGUGUAUCUGUCCUGCAUCCUGGGGCUAGAGUGUCUUGAGAUGUUGGGGGUGGGUGGAGAGAAGUUGAAGUCCAGAGACUGCUUUUCAGAGCCUGAGAGCAGAGGCAGAACUUUCCCCCAAGGUC